GGGUUCCCUGUUCAAGGCGCAGUGGUAGCGCAUCCGAUUCCAGUGCCUCAAAUGAUAUGCUCGUUUGUUAUGCCGUGCCUCCGGAAGGCCAUCGGUUCGAAUCCGAUAGGGUUCA